UACGUAAGGACCGAGCGUUGUCCGGAAUCAUUGGGCGUAAAGGGUACGUAGGCGGGUUUUUAAGUUAGAAGUCAAAGGCUAUAGCUCAACUAUAGUAAGCUUCUAAAACUGGGGACCUUGAGUAAUGGAAGGGAAAGUGGAAUUCCUAGUGUAGCGGUGGAAUGCGCAGAUAUUAGGAGGAAUACCGGUGGCGAAGGCGACUUUCUGGCCAUUAACUGACGCUGAGGUACGAAAGCGUGGGUAGCAAACAGGAUUAGAUACCCUGGUAGUC
rnacentral:rRNA from 1 species